rnacentral:rRNA from 1 species
AGGGUUUGAUCCUGGCUCAGAACGAACGCUGGCGGCGUGGCUAAGACAUGCAAGUCGAACGGGCUCGUUAAUUUAUUAGCGGGUCAGUGGCGAAAGGGUGAGUAAUGAAUAGGUAACGUACCCCGAGCUCUGGGAUAGCCAUCCGAAAGGAUGGGUAAUACCGGAUAACAUCACGGGCCGAUGGGCUCGUGAUCAAAGAUUCAUCGGCGCGGGAGCGGCCUAUUUCCUAUCAGCUAGUUGGUGAGGUAACGGCCCACCAAGGCGAAGACGGGUAGCGGGACUGAGAGGUUGGCCCGCCACAUCGGAACUGAGACACUGUCCGGACCCCCACGGGGGGCUGCAGUAACGAAUCUUGGGCAAUGGGCGAAAGCCUGACCCAGCGACGCCGCGUGCGGGAGGAAGUCCUUCGGGAUGUAAACCGCUGUCAGGGACGUGAAAGUCCACUUCGGUGGAUUGAUCUAACCCAAAGGAAGUCACGGCUAACUCUGUGCCAGCAGCCGCGGUAAGACAGAGGUGGCAAGCGUUGUUCGGUAUCACUGGGCUUAAAGCGUGCGUAGGCGGAAGCGUAAGCAUUUUGUGAAAUCCCUCGGCUCAACCGGGGCAUUGCUUGAUGUACUGCGUUUCUUGAGGCAAGUAGGGGUGCGAGGAACUCUUGGUGGAGCGGUGGAAUGCGUAGAUAUCAAGAGGAACGCCGGUGGUGAAGACGUUGCACUAGGCUUGUCCUGACGCUGAGACACGAAAGCGUGGGGAGCGAACGGGAUUAGAUACCCCGGUAGUCCACGCCGUAAACGAUGCCUACUAGGUUGUGGCGGUUCUGACGCCGGCACAGCCGAAGCCAAAGUGUUAAGUAGGCCGCCUGGGGAGUACGGUCGCAAGGCUAAAACUCAAAGGAAUUGACGGGGGCUCACACAAGCGGUGGAGCAUGUGGAUUAAUUCGAAGCAACGCGCAGAACCUUACCUGGGUUUGACAUGCUUGGAUGCCUUUCUGGAAACAGAGUAGGCUGCCCUUCGGGGUGAAACUUGCACAGGUGCUGCAUGGCUGUCGUCAGCUCGUGUCGUGAGAUGUCGGGUUAAGUCCCUUAACGAGCGAAACCCUUACCGUUAGUUCCAGCGGGUCAUGCCGGGGACUCUAACGGGACUGCCGGUGUUAAACCGGAGGAAGGUGGGGAUGACGUCAAGUCAUCAUGGCCUUUAUGCCCAGGGCCUCACACGUGCUACAAUGGCCGGUACAAAGCGACGCGAGACCGCAAGGUGGAGCCAAUCACAAAAAACCGGCCCCAGUUCGGAUUGUAGGCUGGCAACUCGCCUGCAUGAAGUUGGAAUCGCUAGUAAUCGUGGAUCAGCUAUGCCACGGUGAAUGUG